AAAGGAAUUGACGGGAGCCCGCACAAGCAGUGGAGUAUGUGGUUUAAUUCGACGCAACGCGAAGAACCUUACCAGAGCUUGACAUCCCGGUGACCGGUUGGGUAAUGCCGACCUUCUCUUCGGAGCACCGGUGACAGGUGGUGCAUGGUUGUCGUCAGCUCGUGUCGUGAGAUGUUGGGUUAAGUCCCGCAACGAGCGCAACCCCUAUGUUCAGUUGCUACGCAAGAGCACUCUGGACAGACUGCCGUUGACAAAACGGAGGAAGGCGGGGAUGACGUCAAAUCAUCAUGCCCCUUACGCCCUGGGCCACACACGUACUACAAUGGCGAAAACAGAGGGAAGCAAAGACGCGAGUCAGAGCAAAUCCCUAAAAGUCGUCCCAGUUCAGACUGCAGGCUGCAACUCGCCUGCACGAAGUUGGAAUUGCUAGUAAUCGCGGAUCAGAAUGCCGCGGUGAAUACGUUCCCGGGCUUUGUACACACCGCCCGU
rnacentral:rRNA from 1 species